GUGCUCACUUCAGCAGCACAUAUACUAAAAUUGGAACAAUACAGAGAUUAGCAUGGCCCCUGCACAAGGAUUAAAAAAUAAAAUAGGGCCGGGCGCGGUGGCUCAAGUCUGU
ensembl:snRNA U6 U6 spliceosomal RNA